rnacentral:misc_RNA from 1 species
GAUGAAGAACGUAGCGAAAUGCGAUAAGUAAUGUGAAUUGCAGAAUUCCGUGAAUCAUCGAAUCUUUGAACGCACAUUGCGCCCCCUGGUAUUCCGGGGGGCAUGCCUGUCCGAGCGUCAUUGCAACCUUCAAGCGCGGCUUGUGUGUUGGGUCUCGUCCCCCGUGGACGGGCCCGAAAGGCAGUGGCGGCGUCCCGACAUGGUGCCCGAGCGUAUGGGAAUCCUCUUCCGCUCGAAUCGGCCCAUGCGGCGCUGGUCGUAACCAAAUUUUUUACCGGUUGACCUCGGAUCAGGUAGGGAUACCCGCUGAACUUAAGCAUAUCAAUAAGCGGAGA